GUUCUCUCCGCCCAGCGGCCGACCAGUUGCCAGCUGCUGAGGAGAAUGAGCUUGGAGCGGCAGGGCUUAACCCAGCGCGGCUCCGAGGUGAGUUGCUGAAGGACUCUGGGAGGCAGCUGCAACAGGGCAUCACUCAGUGUCCAAGUAUUUCCAUUUCUGAGAGCAAAAGGAAGAACUUAAGCGGGCGGCAGUUGGAGUGUAAAUUGCUUUGUAGUAUUUAAAAGCAGCGUGGAUCGUGGGCAGCUGAGCUGAAACAAACCAACAGGACUUCAUAUGAAAUCAUUGACCACCACGUGCUCCUUCCACCUCCAUUAACUCCUAAUUCUAGGCACAUGAGAGCCAAAGGAAACCACAGAGCCACAGGCACUCACUCACAGCCCUGAAGCAGCUGCUCACAAAGGCAGUGUCGCAGGGCGAGUGUCAGUCUGCCUGGCAAUCUCCUACAACUGAGGGGAAAUAAGAUACCAGAAUGGAUAAGCAGAAGUAACUGAGACUCUCCUGUCUGCCUGGACCUUCAGAGGCUGACUUCAGCUGAAGCACCAAGAGACAUCUUAUGGCUGAAUUCACACAUGAAAAACAUGACUCGGUAAAUAUUCCAUCUUCCUUCUCUAGCCAGAAGCACAGUCGCCAUGACUGACAGUUAUUGAAUCCUAACUUACAAGUGCUUGUUUCCUGGGAAUUGAUUAGAUUAGCCAGAAGAGUUCCUGAUGGACACAUGCAGCCAAUGGAAGCCACAUAUCACUGCUGGGUUAUCAGAAAGGAAUCCUGCCCUACACGUAGAACAAGAGAGUGAAAAGAGUCAGUGUUGGGCUCUGGAUGUAAAUGAUCACUGGCUCUCAUUGGUUGGCAAUUUCUCACUCUUUGUAGAAUACUGCACUGAUUUGACUCGGUGAAAGAUGACUGGGAAAAAGGUUUGCACAUGUGUAUCAAUGUUUAAUUCCUUCCCAUGGCCACUAAGGAGAAUUUACCUUUGUCUACUCAGGCUUUUCAAUUUUUCAUUUCUUUUCUCUACCACCAGAAUUGUUGUUAGCUAGCCUCACCGUACAAAGCACAGCACUGGAGAGAGCUGGAGAGUUGCAUCUUUAAUUGAUUUGCUCUGAGUCAUGUCUACAUCAGAGGGAUAGCUCGACUUGCACUGGAGGUACUAAUGGGGGAAAAUCAUUACCAUGCUCAGCAUAAUCAGAUAAAGAGGAAAUGGACUAGAGAGACAAGAAUCUGCGCAAGGGAAAAUGUGCUUCUGAGAAGAAAAGAGAAUUUUGAGGAGACUCUAUCCUGCUUAUGAGAGGACAUGGCUGUGAAAUGUUAACCAACCAAGGAUAUUAUUUGAAAAGAAAAAAAGUUAUUCAGCAAAAUGGAAAAAGUAAAGAAAGGAAAUGGCAUUGGAUAUUGAGAGGCAGCAUGAGCUAAGCGUGGCACAGCAGAAGAUAAGUGAUCAGAAAGAAGACUUGUUGACUUCAGACUUGGAACAUUCUUCUUUGAAUGGAUGAGACUUGACUGUUCAAGAAAACAACAGCUUGUCCUGUGUACAAUUCUGAGUACUCGCUGAUGGAAAAUUAAAGACUGAAUACCAAAAGACAAAGGAGCUGUUUUCCUGGAGUCCUUCUUGGGCUCUGAGCACAGCAGUGGUGAGCUAGGCAGCAGAGGUGAAGUGUGGAGCUUGAGGAGCAAAAGACGAAAGAGGCAGAUUUGGACACAGGGACACAGACGCACACAGAGAGAAGACAGCUGUGUGAAAUUGGAGGCAGAAAUUGGAGUGUGCUGCUACAGCCAAGGAAUGCCAAGGAUUGCCCGCAACCAUCAGAAUCCAGAAAGAGGCAAGAAAGGAUUCUUCCCUGGAGCCUUCAAAGAGAACAUGACCCAACAGACAUCUGGAUUUCAGACUUCUCGCCUCCAGAACUAUGAGAGAAUAAAUUUCUUUUGCUUUAGGUCAUCAGUUCGUGGUGAUUUCUUAUGGAAGCCCUAGGAAACUAGUACAGUCCGCAUCAUCCACGACAUGCCGACCAUAAUGGCCUUCUUUUAGAUCUUCAAACACAUGAAGUGCCUUGACUCCUUUGCAUAGGCUGUUCACUUCAUCUGGAAUGCUUUUCCUCAGAUCCCUCCAUGGCUGGCUUUUGCUUUUUGUUAAGGACCUACACAGGCCAGAGACCUUCCCUGAUGACCUAAAUUAAAGCAGGCAGUCAUUUACGCUCCACCACAUCGGUCUAAUUUAUGUCCUACAUAGAAACUAUAUUAAUAUUUUUCUUUUUUAUCUAUUUUGUUUCUUUGUGGGUUUGUUUAUUUUUUGUUCCUCCACCACUAGAAUAUAAACUUUAUGAGAACAAGAAUUUUAUGUUUGUUCAGUGCCCAGAAUAGAGUCUGUAGAAUGUAGACAUUAAAUAAAUAUUCACUGAAUGAAUGAAUGAAGUCAUAUUUCUUUUUUACCUCUUGAACAGAAUAUUGUGAUGUCAUAGGACAAGAUCCUGAAAAAUAUUUUAUUAGUUUCAAUUUUAUAAACAGC
ensembl:lncRNA